rnacentral:tRNA from 5 species
GUCAGGAUAGCUCAGUUGGUAGAGCAGAGGACUGAA